rnacentral:rRNA from 1 species
AGUUUUAAAACAUUUAAACACUGAAAACAACCCACAAAGAAAUAUCUCAAAAUUUAAAGUACUAAAGAAGAAAACAAACAUUUAAAAACAACCGCAAGGGAGAAACAAACUAAAUAAAGAAGCACCACCCCUUCCUUUUGCAUAAUGAUCUCACAAGAAAACAAACUUAAUCUAAAGUAAACCCGAAACUACUAGAGCUAAUUAUUAGCAUGUUCAAGACACAACUCAUUAUUGUUGCAAAAAUAUGAGAAGACUAAUAAUUAGGAAGCGAAACACAAACCGAUAGUAGUGAUAUCUGGUUCUCUGAGAACAGACUAAAUCUCAAAAUGCACACAUCAAUAAGCAUUAUACUGUCUCCUCAGAAUAUUCUGAGGAGACCACAAGGAAACAACCUGAAAAUUUAGGACAACUAAUUAAACAAACAAAGUAGGCUUUGAAACAGCCAACUAAAACGUAAAAGUUAAAACUAAUAACAAACCCUAAAUACUUAUCAGAGACAAACAAAAACCAAGAAACUGUAAGAACAAGUAAUUACAUUACCACUUUAAUAAAACCCCUUAAAGAAAGCACAACACAAGACAAUCUAAACAAACAAAGGUACAACCAAUUUAGGUGGUAUUUAAAAAUAUAUUAAUAGGAGGAAGGAACUCGGCUAAAUGGCUCCGACUGUUUACCAAAACACCGCCUUUUGAACUUCCAAUAAAAGGUCACUCCUGCCCAGUGUUAUUAAGCUAAAACAAUAAUAAACGGCCGCGGUACCCUAACCGUGCAAAGGUAGCAUAAUCACUUGCCCCUUAAUUAGGGGAUAGAAUGAAAGGAAUAACGAGAGCCAAACUGUCUCCCUCCUACAAAAAUAGAAACUUCUAAUUACGUGCCAAUGCGUAAAUAAAAAGAAAGACAAGAAGACCCUGUCGAGCUUAAACAAACACAAGACUUAAACUCUUGACCUUUUGUUUUGGUUGGGGCAACCAAGGAGAAAAAAGAAACCUCCAAAAUAAUAAAACAACCAUUUUAAGAUAAGAAGACCCUUAAAUGAUUAAAGAACAAAGUUACCGCAGGGAUAACAGCAUUAUCCUCUAAAAGAGUCCUCAUCUAAUAGAGGGUUUGUGACCUCGAUGUUGGAUCAUUAAGUCUCCUCGGCGCAGAAGUUGAGAAAGAAGGUCUGUUCGACCUUUAAUAAAUUACGUGAUCUGAGUUCAGACCGGCGCAAGCCAGGUCGGCUUCUAUCUCCUAAAGAGAUUUUUUAGUACGAAAGGACCAAAAAUCAACGGACUAUUACAAUAUUACUCCGUAAUAACAAACACUUAGAACAAACACUACAC